ACUACAAAGUAGUAUUGAAAACUCAGGAUGGGGUGGAGGGGUAUUUCCCUUCCUCUGAAAUUCCUCCCCCAUAUAUGCAUACUGCUAAACCAUCCCUAGCAGGGAUUACUUUCAUCUCCAACUCAUGAAGAAACUUCUGAAGAGCUUUUUUGCUUUUGUCCUUGGAAUACACCACGUUGUGCAAAAUGGCAUGUGAAACUCUUUCUUGAAGAAGGAGCUUGAACGGCUUGCGCCAUGAGCUUUCCUUCUCUUUCCUUUGCUAGUAUCAAAGUUCCUGAUGUGUAGGAUAUAAUAUAGGAUACCUUUGUCUCCAUUCAGACAUUUCAAAGUGAGCACCCUGCUGAAGAUCAUCAAGCUACUGAAGAUGUACGCAAACCUGCUAAAUUACAUAUCUUGCAUAUCAGCAGACUAUCAAAAGUUUCUACUCCACGGAGUACAGAAAAUGGGAAUUAAAUGGGAAUCUACUCAGUCUCUGUGAAGGGAAUCUUACUUUGUGCUCAUGCGAACCCAAGACAGUGCUUUCGUCUUAUGUUUCAUCUAACUAUUUCAAAGGAUUUGACAGAAUUUAAGCAAAGGAGCAUUGCUGUGUCCUGGGAGACAAGCAAGUCUGGGGGUGGGGAUUAUUCCAGUAUCUCCCCCUUAACAUUCUACCACGGGACUGUCUCACCUCUCCUCACUGGCAGAAGGAACAACCCCUUUACAAGGUACCCUGGAGAAGACACUCUCCUACACGGAGACAGCUGGGGAAUUUCUGCCCACUGUAUCAUCAUUACACAACAAAUGGGAGCUUAUUAGCUUAUAGUCCAUCCUACAGUAUCCUUCCUAUGUGUCUUCGUUGCCUUGAAGAUGAAGAAACCUGAGUGCAGCUGUUGCUUGGCUGAGGAAUAAUGCCAAACUAAUGAAGCACAUGAAAUUCAAACAGCCAAGUCAGAGUGAAGCCAACGUUCACAUGACUUGAAGGCCAACCAUCCUGUCAGACAGUCAGAAGAUGAACUGCAAGAAAAUGGUUACACCCUUUCUUGAAACAUCAGUUCCACUGAGUGUCAGGGGUGCUCGAAGACAUUGCAGGAAUUCUACAGACAAUUGUUUGGAAUACAGUUUUCUCAAUCUGUUUUGCUGAAUAGCAAACUUUUAUAGUGGAAGAAAAAUAGAAAAAUAAUAACCUGUCUUAAAAUAAUGAAACCAAGCUUCAACUAUUGUCCAUGUCUGAAAUCCCAGUGAAUUUGAACUGUAUCUGAUAUUUGAAGAGUAUGUUAUUUUAUGACUGAUAUAAUUUAGCAUACAAAUAGUCCAAAUGACAGAUGAAACCUUUUUAUAGGGCUUGUAUUAAAAUUCACAAAGUCCAAAAAUGUCUUUUACAUCUAAGGAGUACGUGCUGUGAUUUUGUGGAGAGUGUGCUGCAUUUUUUUAAUACUUAAGCAAAUAUUUAACUCAUUCCAAAUAAGAUAUAAUGGAAAAUGGUGGCUUAGGAGGAAGGUUGGUACCUCCUCAAGGAAACAGCAUUAAAGGACAAAUCUUCUCUAAUACACAGGAAUGAAAGAUAAACUAUGUAAAGGUAAAAUUAGAAAAUAUGAGUAACAGACUGAGGUACUGCUAUCAGGAAUAAAAGAACAAACAGAAAGCAACCUUCCAUAAUAUCACUAAUAACAAGAACCAGACUGAAGAAAGUUUAUCUGCUAUUCAGCAGAGAAUGAAAACAACAGAAAGAUGAUGCUAAGAACACCAGAGUUUUUUUCAUGUCUAAACUAAAAUGAUGAAUGGUAAUGAAACAGCUAAUGUAAUUAAUACUACUAACAAAGAGGGUAAAACAACUGAGAAUAAGUAAGUAAAACCAGGUUAGACAGUACAUGGAUCUUUUCAAAUUGCCUGGACUUGGUGAAGUCCAAGCUGCUAAACUACUUCUGGUACUAGUUGGAGCAAGCUCCAGAAUUGAGGAAUUAUCUUUUAGAAAUUAUGGAGGAUCAACAAGAACAGGAAUAUCACCUGUAUUUAAAAAGGAGGAGGAAGAAGAGAAAUCUGACUUUUGGGAAAAUAUUGAAAGACCUACUUUUUUACAGUUUACUCCAAAAAACAAGUUCUGAAAAGAGAAUGAUCUCUAUUAUUUAAAAAGAAAUAAAAAUAAUAAUAAGGAAGGAAAUAGCUCAUUCUUCAUGUCUACUGCAAUCAAAGGUAAUAGGUUUAAAUUGUAGCAAAAAGACUUACACUAAAUAUUAGAGAGGAUGAACUUCCUACAUGUAAGAAUAUGUAAGUACUGGAGAAGGGCAGUGGGAAUCCUCAUCAGUGCUGGUUUUAAAAAAGGCAUAGACAAAUACCAAUCAAGAAUUAGGUAAAGGGAAUAAUUUCCUGGGCAGGUUGAGAGACUUAGUGACCUUAUAGCUGAAUUUAGGAUUGUCCAGGACAAAAUAAUCUCCUCUCCCUCUCCCUCUCCCUCUCCCUCUCCCUCUCCCUCUCCCUCUCCCUCUCCCUCUCCCUCUCCCUCUCCCUCCCCUCCCUUAGAAUCAUAUACUGAAGUAUAAAUAAGAAGACAAUUAGUUUUCUUGUUCUCUGUUCUAUUCCAUUCCUAGAUGUACCAGUCCUGUAGGAACUGCAGUCAGCAGAAACUUGUUAAAAUUGUAGCAUCUAUACAUUUUUAUCUGAAUUCUGCUUAACUUGGGAGGUCUGGCUAAUCUGGUGGAAAAUCCUUCUUUGUUUUCAAUUUACUCUUCUGUUCUAAAAAAAAAGGCUUAACAAAGUAAAACGUAAUAAGCAAAAUAUCUUCAAUAUUUUUCUUUUGCUUAAGUAUCACCUGCAAGUUCAUCAAGAAUGCUUUAAACCUGCAAAAUCCGGGUUGUCUUCCAUUUCACAUGCUGAUGUUCCCUGUCACUGCUCAGAAUCAAAAUAUGAACAGUGAAAUAAGGGAUAUACUGCAUUUUUCUGCAUGAACAAUUUAUUUCAACAAAAACAUUCAUUUCUGUGAGGAUUUGCAAGGUCAGGCCACUGAGAAGUAAAAGCAAGAAAGGACAGGGCCUUUUUUCUUAUCAUUGGAUGUGAAUCUUUUAAGGGUUGAUUAAGGUUUGCUUAGGACAAUCUAUCCCUAAACACCUCAAAGGAUAAGACAUUGAUGACAUCCAUAGUCAGGCGGACGUUUGUGCUUUAACUACAAAAUGGAUGUGUAUGAAUUUUUCUAUGAUGAUGCAAUCCCACUGUCAAGCCCAAAGACAGCAUCUGUAAUGUAAAUACUGGAUAUUUUAACCAGUGUUCUCUAACACUAUUUUAAUGCCAUACGGAUUAAAAAAUGCUUCCUUUGGAUCUGGCAACAUGAAUUAAAAGGCAUAGCUCUCAGGAAUCCUGCAACAUUAUUCUUGGAAGAAGGAGAGGCAGUGAAAAGCUGAAGAAUUUUUUAUUCUGAAUAUGUUCAGAUACAGAACAGAAUGAGUACCAACAUUUUUUCUUCUUUUCUAUACUGUUCGUCCAAAUACUACUGCUGGUCAGGCUACGAUCAUCCUUGGAGAAGCUUCUGUUAUUCUGCUAUUGCUUCUGCUUGACAGCAGCUAUUUUUGAACAAGAACUGUAAAACUGUAAAGACUUGGAACAUAUCAUUAUGCCAGCACUGGUCUGAGGAAAAAGAGCAAUGACCCUGCAAUAUUUCUAGAAGUUCAAAUGAGCAAAAAUUAAUUACAGGCAUUCACAUAGGCAGACCUGACUGAACAGAUGCCAGAGGAUAUUUACUCACUAAGAUGGAGAUAGAGAGUAAUUUUUCACUGGAGAAAUUACAGCUGUACUUUAACCAUACUACCCAAGUCAUUGCAAGGUGGCCAGUUCUUACAGUGGACAGAAGAUAAAGAAAUGGCUUACUCAGCUAUAGCAAGACAAGAUUGAUGGAAAUAAAGUUUUAGAUGACAACCUGAAAAUGAAGUUGAUCUAAAAAGGGAUGUGCCUCAAAAGACUGAAUUUUCUUAUGUUCUCAAUAAUAAAAAGCUAUUAACAAAGCAUUUUUUAGAGUAUUUUAUCUGGUAUAUCAUGGAAUAAAGAUCUAGAUAUAGGCAGUAAUUAAAGAUCAACUUUGAUUUUGAUAAUCCUUUUUAAUUGCUUUUUUAAUUGUGGUGAAAUUUUAAAACAUUUCUGUGAAGUGCUCUGUGGAAAAAACGCUGAUAUAGAGAGAUUAACUAAUCAAGAUUGCUCUAUUCUGUUUGAAUAACUAGAAAGGAACUUUGAGUGGGUAAGUGUAAAAUAAAUCUUCUAACUAAUGUAUGGCUCCAUGUAAUCUCAUCUCACCUUCUGGGAACAAUGUAUAACAAAUUAAGCUUGGAUCAUGAAAUGUCAUACCAAUCUGGCAGUGAGAUUUCAUUUGGAGGGAAGAGCUACUAUUCUCUUGGUUCUUAACAGCCAUAGAAAAUUUCAAUUACGUGAGCAUCUUGACAAAUUCUGCAUCCAGGGUAUGGAAGAUUUUUAAAAGUUUUGUUUAACCAGCUACAGCGUCCCAAAGUACGUCACCUGGUUUAACCAUCUUAACUCUUGCCAUUUUGCUGUUUGCCUAGCCUCCUGGAUAAGAAAGCAGCUUUGGCAGAAGACGUGAUUAUGAAGUAAAAUACUAAUAGAUGGAUAUUUUAUGUGGCAUAGUAAACAUUGUCACAAUAAAGAGUAAAAUAAGGGUGUCGUAAUAACAGUGAACAAUCUUGUUUCUUCUUCUUCAAAAUUUUAUGAACCUUUGAAGGAGUGGAUAUACACCUUGAAGUUGAACAUAAUUAGACUAUUAGGAAAGAAAUAAAUAAGAUGACACAGAGAAAGAUUCCUAAGGGAACACAGAAUGAAACAAAUUGAAAAUUUAUAUCAAAGGGAUUGGAGUGAGAAUGAAGGAGAGGAAGCAGAAGAUAAAAAUUGUAACAGAGAAAUAUGCACGUAAUUUCUACCAUGUGUAUGUAUCAAGAUGUCUUUUUGCAUUAGGUUCUUCCAUUGAUUUUACAUAGAAUUUGUUUCAUUAAAAGAUAUGGUAAUUGUGGUACACAGCAGCAUGUGCUUGUUUUAAAUAAUUAAUUUCUGGCAACAGUGAGAGAGAAAUAACUUAAGUCAGAGAAAAAUAUGCUAAUUCUGUAUCAAUUUGGUAAACCUGGACAUGUUAAAAGCUCUUUUGGGAGGCUGGUCAAAUUCUAACGUUUUGAAGAUUAAAAAUAUGUUUCCCAUGUUGCACAUCAUGCCUGCAUGAGUUCCUUACAACACAAACUUGGACACCCAAAAUGGUUAAAUUACAAUGACUAGAGACUAGGAAUAAUACACAGCCUGUAUUCAGAGUAAUAAACUCACUCAUUCCUGUAUCCUCCUUGUAGGUAAAAUAUAUGUGAUAACACACUACGCAGGUACUUUUUCUAAAAUUCCUUACCUUUGAAAUACUUGCAUCAAAAUCAUCUUAGAGUUAACUGAUAGUAGAGCAGGAGAGAAGGGGUUCUGUUCUUAUACCUUAGAGAAAUGGACUCUUUCCAAAAAAGAUGUACACUAUAUCCUUCACAUGCUGAGUCCUUGAAAGUGUACACUGAUCCUUGGCUUUCUAGUGCUUAAAGCCUUAACAGGACAUGGUCUCAGCAGAAGUUCUGUGUCUUAUACCACUGAACCCUUGAAAAAGACAAAAUAAUUGAAGUUGAAUAAAAAAUACAUUGAUAAUCAUGGCUGAGAGUUAGUAACCAACCACUAAUGGCCUUUAACUCUUCAUCAAGAGCAGCUCAGAGAAAAUCCAGUUUAUGUAAGAUAUUAAAGCAAGUGGUGAUGUUUCGGGAGACAAGAUAUUUAUGACAAGAUAUUUAUUUAAAAGGUGACAUGAAGACUUGGCAUCAUAGCUUGAAAACAAAGAAAAUUUCUGACGUAGCAUAAAAAAGGAUUAAUAAUGCUAAAUGCAAGAGAUGACAAUGAAUAAUAGCCAUGGGUACAUUCCUAAGAGAAUAAGAUUGAGAAAGCAUAUGCUGAGAAAAACAGAGAGGAAACUCAAGGUGAUAGGCAGAUAUGGGCUGCAGCAGACAAUCAACAGUCCUAAGGAAGAACCCAGAAGAGGAAAAUCUGAUGUUAAAAAUAGGUUGUUUUUAAACAAAGUUACAUGUCCAAAUCUCUCUCAAACCUAUUGAAUUCAUAGUUAACUCAAGUAUCAUUCAAUUUGUGUCCUAUAAACAAAGCACAGAAACCACUGACCUAGUGCAUCCCUACUGGUCUUCCUUGACUCCAAAAGACUAUAUUUGAUGAGUAGCUUGGACUAAACUGCUAAUGAUUAAGCAAGAUGGUCUCCCAUCUGAAUUUUGUAUGCAGAUUUUUAAUAAAAACAUGUACAACAUUCUGCAAGCAAAUAAACUUCAACCAAACUUCAGAUAACGUCAUUAUUUGAAGUAUCAACACACACUUUUAAUUUCCAUUGGUAAAAUCAAGAAACUUUCAUUAUUAAUUAAGCAGCUAAUUUUCUCUUGCUGUAUGAAAGAUGGAGAAGUAGCUAAUUGCAUUUGAGAUUCCCUUCAGCAUAAUUAGAUCUAGGCAAAUAGAUAAUCCCCUUGACACCAAUGGCAUACAUCAGACUCAUUUUAAAGCAAUCAUUUCAUUUAGGAAUAUCACACCUGUAGUAAUUAGGCAAAUGCAUCUCAUUCUCCUAAGAAAUUAUUUCAGUAACACAUGGUAUUGCCUUGAAAAAUGGAUAAAAAGAAAGACCGUUUGUAAAAAUAAUAGUAUAGUUGCUAUAACAUAUUCUAUUUUAAUUUUCAACUCUGAGGUUAAAUUACAAUGACAAAAGUUAUUAUUAGACCACAUUAUUCAGGUUCAACUGCAUUUGAUAACAAUAAUUCCAACCUGUGCAGUUCUUUGAGCUUAAAAUUGAUUCAUAGACCAGAGUGAAGUUCACUAGAAAUUAAUUUUUAAAAUAAAUACUUUUCUGACAAUAUAAACAGUUGAACGUCACCAUUCCUAAACUUUUUUUUUUCUGGUUUUAAAUGAUUUUUCAUUUUGAAUUUCUUGUCAUCAUGUGUACUGUAAGUAUGUAGUAUAACAUGAAGUGUAAAAAUCAAAUUUUGAUCAGCUUAAAAUACAUUUUUCCAGAGGGUUUUUCUUUCCAGUUCAGAAAAAGCCAUUUCUUCCCUAUUCUAAAAAGAAAAGAAAAAAAAAAAAAAAAGCACAACUUCAUCAGUCUUCACCAUUUCAAGCUAAAAUACCUCUCUGUAGGCUUAUACAUGCUUGAGGGAUAUAAAGAGAAAGAUGGAGAAAAAAUUCUGAUGAUAGAAAAAGAUGCCCUUAUAUGCAUAAAAUAUUAAGUGUGAAAUUAGUUCUACUCGGUCAAAUUAGUUUACCCUUCUUUGUGGCUGCACUAAUUCUGAUAUAUCAGCUAGUUUACUGAAGGGAGGAUUGCACUGUAUCCUGGAAGACAUACAGCCCUAAAACUUCACUGGUAGACCACUGGCAUUGGGGCAUUGUCUCUUCAGGAACCUGAGUUCCUUCUUGUCACCAUCCACUCUAACUGCUUCAUGUUUAAAGGCACUUUGCAGUAAGAUAGAAAGGAUCUAAAGCUGUUUUUUGAAGAGGUUAAAACUGUUUUGCCAGAAUUUUUCAGUUUUCAAAUCCCAAGGAACAAACUGGAAUACUCUAAUGCAGACAAGCUACGUUGUACGUUUGAAUGGCUUAGCUCAGUAAACUAGAGGAUAAAAGAUUGAGAUGUGUUGAAGAUAGCUUAGUGCCUGUUGAAGACUACAUUGCCCUUUGGACUUUAGCUUUUAAGAUUUUAUUAAUUAGUACUUCAUAACUAAUACAUUAUCAUUUUUAAUAGCCGCCAGAAAUUUAUAAAAGUACAGUACUGAUCAAUACUGAUUCUGUACUGAUGGUGAACAAAUAAAUAUUUUACAACAUAUAACCUCAGUAAUGAAAGAAUCAAAGUAAAUACCUGUUAAUAAAUGAUGACAUUUUUCCACUGUAAAUGUUGUGUUGUCUAAACAUUGAUAUUUCUGCAAAAAGCUUUGGUAACAAAACUGAAGUGUGGCAAAUGUAUUCUUGUAUCUCGGAAUCAGUGCACAGCAGAUGAGCUAAACAUCACUGCAUAUUACCGUAACCUGUGUGCUAUGGCCAUCUGACUUGGAAGAAAUGGUGGGACAGACUUCUCUGAGGUAUAAACUGGUGCUGAUCCAUCAAUUAUAUUGUUGCACUUUCCAGUACCCAAGAAUUCAUAACUCUAGCAUUAUGAUAAGGAUACACCAAAUAAAUGAAAAAAUUAAUACCAGUGAGAGAAGAGAAGAAAGUGUUGUUUUCUUUUGUAAAGGCAUUUUAAGUAAUUAGCAUAUAUUAAUCUCUUAAAAAAUACUAUGUUAAUAAAGAAAAAGACUUAGACAAAGAAUAUUCCCUGAUUUUGUAAACACCGUUAAUUCACAGAAAAAAAAACACACCAAAAAAUCCCAAAAAUUUAUACCCAUAGGGCUUCAAUUGAACACUAACUAGUGUUACCUGGCAGUCUUCUGCUGAUCUCAAUGGGAUUUGAAUUCGGCUUCUGGAAAUAAAUAUCUUAAGAUAGUACAAAUAAGAAGAGCUUUCAAUUUAAUAAGAAAACCAAAACUCUCAGUUUGGAUUAAUCCACAACAGUGUCUUUUCUUUUUUAUGUGUGAUACAAUUCUUUGGUUUUAGCAGGCAACUGUUUUGGCCAAUGUCUUACAAAAUGUUUGGCUUGCUUAUUUUUUAUCCUCUCUUUAAGAUUCUUCCCUGAUGCAAGUUAAUCUCUUUGUGAAAAUGGCAUUUUGAAAUACAAUAGUAAGAUGA